GGUGAAUGCAACGCAUCAGGAGCUUAAUCAAUUUGUUCAAAACAAUGUUUGGUAUCUAGUGCCUAGGCCUGAUGAUUGCAAUGUGAUAGGUACUAAGUGGAUUUUCAAGAACAAGACCGAUGAUCAGGGUACCAUAACAAGAAAUAAGGCUAGGCUAGUUGCUCAGGGGUACACUCAGGUUGAAGUGGUAGAUUUUGAUGAGACAUUUGCCCUUGUUGCACGUCUUGAGUCCAUUCGCAUCCUUCUUGCGGUUGCUUGUACUUUAGGGUUCAAACUAUAUGAAAUGGAUGUCAAGAGUGCCUUCUUGAAUGGAAUACCUCAAGAAGAGGCAUAUGUUGAACAACCCAAAGAAUUCAUCGAUCCUAAGCUUUCCUAUUAUGUCUACAAAUUGAAUAAAGCCUUGUAUGGUCUGAAACAAGCUCCUAGAGCUUGGUAUGACAGACUCACUGUAUAUCUCGUUGAUCAUGGUUUUUCACGAGGUGGUGCAGACAGAACUCUAUUCAUUAGACAUAUUGAAAAAACCAUAACUAUAGCACAGAUCUAUGUUGAUGAUAUUGUGUUUGGCUCUCCCAUUGACUCCCUUGCUCAUGAAUUUGCCGAAUGUAUGAAACGAGAAUUUGAAAUGAGCAUGGUUGGAGAGCUAAGUUACUUCCUUAGCCUUCAAGUAAAGCAAACUGGCUAUGGGUUGUUUAUCUCUCAGUCAAAGUAUGCCAAAGACCUAGUUAAGCGAUUUGGACUGGAUAGUAAAAAAUACACAAGAACACCUAUGAGCAUGAGUGCUAAGUUAGGUCAUGAUCCUAUAGGUAGAAGUGUUGAUCAGACAUUGUAUAGGAGUAUGAUAGGUAGCUUACUCUACCUUACAGCUAGUAGACCUGACAUAGCUUUCAGUGUUGGCGUGUGUGCGAGAUUUCAGGCAGAUCCUAAGGAAUCCCAUUUUAGUCCAGUAAGACGUAUCAUUAGGUAUGUGAAUGGGACUGUAAAUCAUGGGAUCUUAUAUUCUAGAGAGUCAAAUCUUGAACUCGCUUGCUAUUCUGAUGCCGAUUGGGCUGGAAAUGCCGAUGAUAGGAAGAGUACCUUGGGU
rnacentral:lncRNA from 1 species